rnacentral:rRNA from 1 species
GACGAACGCUGGCGGCGUGCCUAAUACAUGCAAGUAGAACGCUGAAGGAGGAGCUUGCUUCUCUGGAUGAGUUGCGAACGGGUGAGUAACGCGUAGGUAACCUGCCUGGUAGCGGGGGAUAACUAUUGGAAACGAUAGCUAAUACCGCAUAAGAGUAGAUGUUGCAUGACAUUUGCUUAAAAGGUGCAAUUGAAUCACUACCAGAUGGACCUGCGUUGUAUUAGCUAGUUGGUGGGGUAACGGCUUACCAAGGCGACGAUACAUAGCCGACCUGAGAGGGUGAUCGGCCACACUGGGACUGAGACACGGCCCAGACUCCUACGGGAGGCAGCAGUAGGGAAUCUUCGGCAAUGGACGGAAGUCUGACCGAGCAACGCCGCGUGAGUGAAGAAGGUUUUCGGAUCGUAAAGCUCUGUUGUAAGAGAAGAACGAGUGUGAGAGUGGAAAGUUCACACUGUGACGGUAUCUUACCAGAAAGGGACGGCUAACUACGUG